GGCCAUGGCUCAGUGGCAGAGUAUCCGCUUGGCGUGCAGAAGGCCCCCGGUUCAAUCCCCAACAUGGCCA
rnacentral:tRNA from 1 species